AGCAGAGGAGCAGGCAGGGAAGGGAGGGUGGAAGGACAGAGGCUCCCCUUUCUUCUGGGCUUGGUUCCGGAGGAGGCCAAAAGAGAGUUUACCAGGGAAGCAAUUUGAAGGCAAAAGUCCACUCUAAAGUGAAGGUUUCCUCUGGACCAGUCUUUGCCGCUGCUGUGUUUGUUCCCAGCCUCACUCCGAGUCAAGGAAGCACCUGAAUCCACAAGAGGCUAAUGCACUUCUUAGAUACUUUUUUGGGGGAGACAAGUUUCCUGUCUUUUGUCCUUGAUUUAUUAUUGCUUUUAUUUGUUCUCCUCCAUUUAGUUCAUUUUAUUCUGAUUUUAAAAGAACAGCUCGCAGGCCCUCCUAUUUUCAUGGAAAUUGCUCAGCAAUAACAAUUUCAGAUAGCUCGCAGAAGAAUAGUCAUCAUGCCAGGGCCAGUUCACCCAAGAUGCUUUGCAGGCAUUUCACAUAACAAUUUACUAAUUAAUGGCAAAUUAAAUGGAAUUUAGUAAGAAGAAUCAGAGGUUAGAGUGCCGGUAUAUAUUAUGUAUAAAAAAGGUAUGCAAAUAUCUUCAGCCCAUUUGUGGUUCAUAAGUGGGAAAUAAUAGCUUUUCUGCUCAGAACCCUCACAGACAGGAGGGCUGUUGCAUCGAGGCAGAACUUCAAAUUACAUAUAAUUCUAAUUUUUUAACAGUUUCGUUGAUUAUACAUUGUGCCUCCAUUUUCCAGAUACAAUGAACUUAGUCUUCCUUGUUUUAAUAGUUUAGAGUUAUGGAAAGUCACCUAUACUUUGCUGCUUAUAUUAACUGCAUAUUGAAGGCUAGAAGUCAUGUUUGGGAAAGUUUUUACUAUUGACCUAGUUAGCUUUGAUUGUCGACUUGGCACAACCUAGGAGCCUCAGAUAGGAUUAGCUUAUGGGAGGUCUGUGGGGAGUUUUCUUGAUUGUUAAUUGAUUUAGGAGGGGCAAGCUCACUUUGGGCAGCACUUUUACCUGGGCUGGUGGCCUUGUGCUGGGUAAGAAGUCUAGCUAAGCAUGAGCUUUCGAGCCAGCAACCAGGUUUUCCAAUGGUCUCUACUUCAUGUUCCUGUUUGAGCUCCUGUCCUGACUUCCCUCAGUGAUGGACUAUGACCUAGAAAUAUAAACUCAAUGAAUCCUUUCUUCUCCUAAGUUACUUUUAGUCAGAGUGUUUUACCACAGUGACAUAAUAAAACCAGAACGAUCACUGAUUCCAAUCUCCUACAGUAGAUCCAGUACAUACUGGAAAACUACAGGCUUUCUGCUUUUGUAAAUAAAGCUUUAUUGGAAUACAACUACAUGCAUUUAUUUGUAGCUUGCUCAGGGCUGCUUUUGAAUCACUAAUGCCACGUAUAUUUGAAGCACAUAAUGACUGCAACAUUUCUAAUCUGGCCUUUAGUAUAUAAAACUUGCAACUUGUUUCAUAGGUAAAAGUGGAGAGCGAGAAUAUUUAUAGUGAAGAGCAAAUAAAACAUUUUAAUAAAAAUAUUGCAAAGAAAUUAAAAGACUUGCUAUUACCCAUAAAAG
rnacentral:lncRNA from 1 species